CACAUCCCCCCCCUUUAGAAUCCAGCCUAAACCCACAAGAAUGGUUGCCUGCUAAUCUGGCAAACUGAAGAGUGGGGAGCAUUGUAGAUCUAUCAAGAGACCUGAGCCAAGUUCAUGGUGCAGCUGCGUGAGACCGAUGUGGGUGACCACCCCAGGGAGGCUAUGCUGUCAAAGAAGCUAUAAUGCAGGGCGGGAGCCAGGCCCAACACAAAAGCCUAAAGAUCUCACACCAGGGACACAGCCUGCAGAACUGUUCGUGAAGCCCUGGUGUUCCAGAGCUUGUCUUAGGAACAGAGAGUGGUGGGGAAAGGGGCGAGAAUCACACAUACCAGGCUGCACUGGCAAACACUUUGUGGUGGGGACAGCCCAGGACUGAGGAUGCAAUACAGCUCCAGGGCUGCUGACUGGCUGCAGAAUAAGGAAAAUGAGGUGUACUGGACAGCCAGGACUAGCCCAACAUGGUGUCUGGCUGCCAUUUGGCACUAUGAAUGUCCAGCCCCGGGCUGACCGUGGUGGCAGAUUCACAGACCCAGCACCUUAGGCACUACAGGCUCGCAGUGCUUGGCUAAAAGCUAUAACCUGCCAUGGGCCCUGCUGGAGUCACCAGCCCCAGAAACUUUGCAUAAGAGAACUCCAGGGCACACGUGAACUUGUCUGGUUUGCACAAGUGCUGUAUCUGGUUCCCUCUCAGAGGGGGCAUUCACCUAUGUGCUACUCCUGUGACCCCCUCCUGAUCAGAAGUAAACAGCCGUUCACAUACCAGGCUUGCAGCACCUUGGCCUGGAGGCUUCUAGGCUACACAAUGGGAUACACAAACAGCCUGUGCCAUCACUCAAGCCUGUCUGGAUAGGUAGAGUUGCAGAGUUGUGACUUUUUUUCAUGGCAGCAACCAGUUCUCUGUGUUCUACUCUCCUGCUUUGUGUCAUGUGUAUGAACCUUGAGCCCAGCUCAGGGACCUCAUAACCCCAGCCCUAGGGUACACACACAAGCCCCAGGGGAGCUAGGCAGGUGACACCUAAGGGAUGCCACAUUCCCGCCUUUGGAUUCUGGCCCAAACUCCACAAGAAUGAUUCCAUGCCAGUCUGGAAAACUGAAGACCCAGGACAAUUAUGGGUCUAUUGGGAGACCUGGGACAAGUUCACAGUUCAGCUCCAUUAACAGGUACAGUGACCACCCCCAAGGAGGCUGUGCUGCCACAGAAGCCAUAAGGUAGGGGCAGGAUCCAGGCCCAACACCAAGGCCUAAAGAUCCGGGGUCUGGGCCACAGUUUCCUGAACUUCUAAGGAAGCACUGGGGACCCGGGGGAUGGGGGGAGAAGAGUCUGUCCUAGGUUCAGAUAGUGGGGGGAACAGAUACUGUCCUAGGUUCGGAUAGUGGGGGGAACAGACACUGUCCUGGGUUCGGAUAGUGGGGGGAACAGACACUGUCCUAGGUUCAGAUAGUGGGGGGAACAGACACUGUCCUAGGUUCAGAUAGUGGGAGGAACAGACACUGUCCUAGGUUCAGAUAGUGGGAGGAACAGACACUGUCCUAGGUGCAGAUAGUGGGGGGAACAGACACUGUCCUAGGUUCAGAUAGUGGGAGGAACAGACACUGUCCUAGGUUCAGAUAGUGGGAGGAACAGAUACUGUCCUAGGUUCAGAAGUGGGGGGAGCAUGUCCUAGAUUGAGAGAAGGGU